rnacentral:rRNA from 1 species
CAGUCGCCGCGGGAAAACGUAGGUGGCAAGCGUUGUCCGGAAUUAUUGGGCGCAAAGGGCUCGCAGGCGGUUUCUUAAGUCUGAUGUGAAAGCCCCCGGCUCAACCGGGGAGGGUCAUUGGAAACUGGGAAACUUGAGUGCAGAAGAGGAGAGUGGAAUUCCACGUGUAGCGGUGAAAUGCGUAGAGAUGUGGAGGAACACCAGUGGCGAAGGCGACUCUCUGGUCUGUAACUGACGCUGAGGAGCGAAAGCGUGGGGAGCGAACAGGAUUAGAUACCCGCGUAGUCCCUGUCUCUUAUAC